rnacentral:rRNA from 1 species
UAGUUGGUGGGGUAAUGGCCUACCAAGGCUUCGAUCAGUAGCUGGUCUGAGAGGACGACCAGCCACACUGGAACUGAGACACGGUCCAGACUCCUACGGGAGGCAGCAGUGGGGAAUUUUGGACAAUGGGCGCAAGCCUGAUCCAGCCAUUCCGCGUGAGUGAAGAAGGCCUUCGGGUUGUAAAGCUCUUUCGCAAGGGAAGAAAACUUACUUUCUAAUAAAGAGUGAGGCUGACGGUACCUUGAUAAGAAGCACCGGCUAACUACGUGCCAGCAGCCGCGGUAAUACGUAGGGUGCGAGCGUUAAUCGGAAUUACUGGGCGUAAAGCGUGCGCAGGCGGUUUGGCAAGUCAGAUGUGAAAUCCCCGAGCUCAACUUGGGAACUGCGUUUGAAACUGCCAGACUAGAAUAUGUCAGAGGGGGGUAGAAUUCCACGUGUAGCAGUGAAAUGCGUAGAGCUGUGGAGGAAUACCAAUGGC